AUUGAACGCUGGCGGCAUGCUUUACACAUGCAAGUCGGACGAGUGGCGAACGGGUGAGUAACGCAUCGGAACGUACCGAGUAAUGGGGGAUAACUGUCCGAAAGGACAGCUAAUACCGCAUAUUAUUCGAGCGGCCGAUGUCUGAUUAGCUGGUUGGCGGGGUAAAGGCCCACCAAGGCGACGAUCAGUAGCGGGUCUGAGAGGAUGAUCCGCCACACUGGGACUGAGACACGGCCCAGACUCCUACGGGAGGCAGCAGUGGGGAAUUUGGACAAUGGGCGCAAGCCUGAUCCAGCCAUGCCGCGUGUCUGAAGAAGGCCUUCGGGUUGUAAAGCUCUGUUGUAAGAAAAGCAUUAUCUUACCAGAAAGCCACGGCUAACUACGUGCCAGCAGCCGCGGUAAUUC
rnacentral:rRNA from 1 species